rnacentral:rRNA from 1 species
UACAGAGGGGGCAAGCGUUGUUCGGAAUUACUGGGCGUAAAGGGCGCGUAGGCGGCCUGCUAAGUCGAACGUGAAAUCCCCGGGCUCAACCCGGGAACUGCGUCCGAUACUGGUUGGCUUGAAUCCGGGAGAGGGAUGCGGAAUUCCAGGUGUAGCGGUGAAAUGCGUAGAUAUCUGGAGGAACACCGGUGGCGAAGGCGGCAUCCUGGACCAAUAUUGACGCUGAGGAGCGAAAGCUAGGGGAGCAGACGGG